rnacentral:lncRNA from 1 species
CUAACCUUGCCUUGACUGAUCAGGACUCCUCAGUGCACCUUCUCGCAAUGAGGCUCCCUGCUCAGCUCCUGGGGCUGCUAAUGCUCUGGGUCCCUGCAUGAGGCAUAUGAUGUACUGAUCUCUGAGAGGGAGGAAGAUUUUAGAAGGAAGGAUAUGUGCCCUGAAGAAACGCAAGUCUUAGAAAGAGGAUGAUGGUAUGGGAGACCACUUUGUGCCUUGCAUCUGUUGAGUUCUUUUUGAAAUUGGAUAUUCUUGAAAUUGCAAAGAAAUUAUACAGGCUGAAAUAAUAAAUGGAAAAUUAUGAGCAUAACGCAUAAUAUUUGUACAUAACUUUGCCCUUUUCUGUCAUCAUUCCAGGAUCUAGUGGGGACAUUCUGUUGACCCAGACUCCACUGUCCCUGUCCAUCACCCCCGGAGAGCCGGCCUCCAUCUCCUGCAGGUCUAGUCGGAGCCUCCUGCAUAGUAAUGGAAACACCUAUUUACAUUGAUAGCUGCAGAAGCUAGGCCAGCCUCCACAGUGUCUAAUCUACACGGUUUCCAACCGGUUUUCUGGGGUCCCAGACAGGUUCAGUGGCAGUGGGUCAGGCAUUGAUUUCACACUGAAAAUCAGCCCGGUGGAGGCUGAGGAUGUUGGGGUUUAUAUUACUGCAUGCAAGCUACACACUGGCCCCC